rnacentral:rRNA from 1 species
CGUGUAGGCGGCUUUGUAAGUUGGGUGUGAAAGCCCUCGGCUUAACCGAGGAAGUGCGCCCAAAACUGCAUGGCUUGAGUACCGGAGAGGGUGGCGGAAUUCCCGGUGUAGAGGUGAAAUUCGUAGAUAUCGGGAGGAACACCAGCGGCGAAGGCGGCCACCUGGACGGAUACUGACGCUGAGACGCGAAAGCGUGGGGAGCAAACAGGAUUAGAUACCCUGGUAGUCCACGCCGUAAACGAUGAGCGCUAGGUGUUGUGGGUGUUGACCCCUGCAGUGCCGCAGCUAACGCAUUAAGCGCUCCGCCUGGGAAGUACGGCCGCAAGGCUAAA